rnacentral:lncRNA from 1 species
AAUAAAGGCUGGGAUUUGCUACGAUAGAAUGGUGUAACCGGAUCUGAGAAAACAACAGUUGAAGACAAACAAGAAGCUGCAGAGUGUGAUGAACUACUUGAGUUUUUCCAAGGUAAACCGUAAGCCAGUAGCUGUUAUCACUUCACCUUCUAAGAGCAGUUAUUUCUUACCAAAUUGAACAGCGUCGGAUCAUUGCUACAGCCAAAGUAAGAGUAUCAGAUUCUUUGUUCAUAACACACACCCAUUCCAAAC